GUAUGUAUUUUAUAGGCACAACAUUCUAUUAACAUACAUUGGGGUAAAUGAAGCAACAUAGACCUGGAAGGCCUACAAAAGGUGCACAGGUGGAGAUAUAAAGAUGACAAGGCGUGCACAUGCUCCCUAGAGAACCAGCAACAACCCAUCAGGUUUAUUUCAAUAAUGAUCCUUCCGCAGGUUCACCUACGGAAA
rnacentral:misc_RNA from 1 species